UGGGGAAUAUUGCACAAUGGGCGCAAGCCUGAUGCAGCCAUGCCGCGUGUAUGAAGAAGGCCUUCGGGUUGUAAAGUACUUUCAGCGGGGAGGAAGGGAGUAAAGUUAAUACCUUUGCUCAUUGACGUUACCCGCAGAAGAAGCACCGGCUAACUCCGUGCCAGCAGCCGCGGUAAUACGGAGGGUGCAAGCGUUAAUCGGAAUUACUGGGCGUAAAGCGCACGCUGGCGGUUUGUUAAGUCAGAUGUGAAAUCCUCGGGCUCAACCUGGGAACUGCAUCUGAUACUGGCAAGCUUGAGUCUCGUAGAGGGGGGUAGAAUUCCAGGUGUAGCGGUGAAAUGCGUAGAGAUCUGGAGGAAUACCGGUGGCGAAGGCGGCCCCCUGGACGAAGACUGACGCUCAGGUGCGAAAGCGUGGGGAGCAAACAGG
rnacentral:rRNA from 1 species